UUACCUGGUCUUGACAUCCCGGGAAUCUUGUGGAAACACGAGAGUGCCUCGCAAGAGGAGCCUGGAGGACAGGUGGUGCAUGGUUGUCGUUCAGCUCGUGUCGUGAGAUGUUGGGUUAAGUCCCGCAACGAGCGCAACCCCUAUUGUUAGUUGCCAUCAUUCAGUUGGGCACUCUAGCGAGACUGCCGGUAAUAAACCGGAGGAAGUGGGGAUGACGUCAAAUCAUCAUGCCCCUUAUGACCUGGGCUACACACGUGCUACAAUGGCCGUUACAACGGGAAGCGAAGGAGCAAUCCGGAGCAAAUCCCUUAAAGGCGGUCCCAGUUCAGAUUGUGGGCUGAAACUCGCCCACAUGAAGGCGGAAUUGCUAGUAAUUGCAGAUCAGCAUGCUGCAGUGAAUACGUUCCCGGGCCUU
rnacentral:rRNA from 1 species